rnacentral:rRNA from 1 species
UACGUAGGGUGCAAGCGUUGUUCGGAAUUACUGGGCGUAAAGGGCGCGUAGGCGGCCUGCUAAGUCGAACGUGAAAUCCCUGGGCUCAACCCAGGAACUGCGUCCGAUACUGGUUGGCUUGAAUCCGGGAGAGGGACGUGGAAUUCCAGGUGUAGCGGUGAAAUGCGUAGAUAUCUGGAGGAACACCGGUGGCGAAGGCGACGUCCUGGACCGGCAUUGACGCUGAGGCGCGAAAGCCAGGGGAGCAAACGGG